rnacentral:rRNA from 1 species
AGAAUCAACGCUGGCGGCGUGCCUAACACAUGCAAGUCGAACGAGAAAGUGGAGCAACCCAUGAGUAAAGUGGCGACCGGGUGAGUAACACGUGACUAACCUACCUUCGAGUGGGGGAUAACCUCGGGAAACCGAGGCUAAUACCGCAUAACAUCGCAAGAUCAAAGCAGCAAUGCGCUGGAAGAGGGGGUCGCGGCUGAUUAGCUAGUUGGCGGGGUAACGCCCACCAAGGCGAAGAU